UUUAAUCUUUGCAGUUAAUGUACUCUGUAUACUAAAAAUUCAUAUUGAUUUUGGAUAGAAUUUCACAUUUAAAAACAAAUAGAUAUGCGCCAAGUCCUUAGGAAUCAACCCCACCCCCACCCCUCCACACGGGACUUUUUUUUGGAUGAUUGGACCGUAUCCCCCUUUUCAUCUGUCUCCCUACUUUGAAGUUUUUUUCCCAACGCCAUGACAUAAAUAGAUAAAUAAAUAAAAUGCAAAAAUAAAAACGAAAGAUAUAUAUGUAUUCGGAUUGGCAUGUUCCACUUUGUCCGGGUUGAAAUCCCCGAGGAUGCAAAUGUACAUUACGCCGCACUGUUUGCAGUACGCACAUGGUACAGGUGUACCACAUAGUGGUCUUCAACUUUUAAUCUCCAAGAAGGAAAUGUAAUUAAAAGAUGAAUAAAGUAUCCCUAAGAAUACCAGAAGAAAGGCUAUGUGUUGAGAAAAACAGCCCUUCCUCAGUACCUCAGAACUAGAUGAUAGCCCUUAAUUGUUACUUUAUGCUGAAUAUGACACAGUAUAGAAGAUCUGAUCAUGAAGAAGUAACACCAUUGAUACACUUGCCAACUGCCAAAAUUACUUUCUGAUAGUAUGACGAGAUUAGAAGAUAUCAUGGUGUAGUCAUGACACAAACUGCAAAAUCAAAGAAUUAAUUGUCUUCCCCAGAGGAUGAACAGAGCAAGAUGGCUUCACAUGGAUAACAUUUCCUUUCGAGUUUUGAAAUUAAUUUGUCAGAAUGUUAUGCAUCGUUAUCAACAGAAAAGAACUUCAUAGGUAGACCAAAGCUGACAUGGGAUGAGAUCCUAGAACAAGACCUAGAGUUUACAGGAUUGGAUAGGAUCAAUCCACUGGGUCGCCAAGUGUGGAAGUACAAACUUCAACCUCGACAGGACAGCCAGGCCUCACCCUUGCAAAAAGAUUAAUUUGGUCUGGAUAGUCAAAAUGAGUGAUGAUGAUUGAUAUCAAGGUCUGACACUGGAAGCUCAGUAAGGGUAGAUGCUGGCAAUGGAGCUGUUUAGCAAUAAAACAAACAAGUUUAACAUUAAACAUGUUUGUAUACUUUUUUGGCUCACCUGAGCCAAAGGCUCAAGUGAGCUUUUCUGAUCACCUUUGCCUGUCGUCUGUCUGUUUAUAAACUUUUCACAUUUUCAUUUUCUUCUCCAGAGUGAACCACUGGGCCAGUUUCAAUCAAACUUGGUAUGCAUCAUCAGUAGAUAAAGGGUAUUCAAGUUUGUUCAUAUAAAGGGUCAUGCACCCUUCAAAAAGGAAAUAAUCAUGGAAAUGCAAAAAUAGGGUGGGGUCAUUUAAAAAACCUUUUCAAGAACCACUGGACCAGGAAAGUUGAAUUCACACGAAAGGUUCCUGUUUUGUGCAAAUCAUGGUCUCUGGGGGUAGGGUGGGGUCACAAUAGAGAAUCAAAGUUUUACAUUCAUAUAUAGUGCAUAUUCAAGUUUGUAAAAAGCUCACAGGGGUAGGGUGGGGGUCACAAUAGGGGAUUUAAGUUUUACAUGUGAAAUAUAUACAAGGAAAAUCUUUUAAAAUCUUCUCCUCAAAAACUAGAUGCAGAACCGUAGCUCUUUGAAAAGAGAGCUUCAGAUGAACCCCUUAUAAAAAAAACUUCAAUUUAUGGCAGAGAAAAAAAGUGCAUGUUUAAGUCCCUCUAUCACUGCAUUCCUGCAUCGCUGUCUCAUGAAUUUAAUAUUAAAUAAUUCCCAACAUAUUUUCCCACUAUACUUGUUUCCAAACAUACUUUCAAUAUUUUCUAAACCCACAUAUAACCCCAAAACAGCUUCAAGUGAUUUCAAUUUCUUUGUUGAUGUAGCCAUGUUAAGUAGCCAGUCAAUUUGAACCCCAGUUCAUUUCCAUACUCAUACUCAUUUUGAAACAUAAUGUCUGUGUGAACUAAUAUCCUCACAAAUAUUUUUAGUGAAAUAUUUAGGAUGAAAUCAUCCCAGUUGGGUUAAAUACUUAUUAUUCAAAUACUGUAGGUUUGAAUAUUGAACUAAUCUCACAGCUUUCUUAAGUUUGGUCCCCAUCCCCACCAGUCUGUUUUUACGCUUAACUAUUGAAAUGGGGUGUAAGGGAUCAGACUAGGCUUUUAUAGCAUUAUCAAUUUUCAAAAGCUUUAGAAAAAUUAUACAAUUUUAGGUCACUUGAGUAAACUCAGAUGACAUAUUGCUAUUGAUCUGCAUCUGUUGUAGUCCGUCGACAUUAACAAUUGAACAUUUUUAACUAAAUUCUAUAACUGAAAGAUGAAGAUACCGCACAGCGAUCAAUCUACGAUUCAAAUAACGGAAUUCUUUUCAAAUUUAGUAUGAAGCACACAAAUUUACAUUAAACCUUCUUGACAUAGUGCAUAUUCAAGUUUGUUCAAAUCAUUUCCCCGGGAGUUAUGGUGUGGUAACAAUAGGGGGUCAAAGUUUUAUAUGCUAGCUGAUAUAAAGGAAAAUUCUUUAAAGAUAUCUCUUGAACUAUUUAAGCUAGGGCUUUCAUAUCUUGUAUAUACAAUUUCUAUGGCAAAACAAAUCUGACCUAUUCAGUAUGUCCUGAACUACAUUGUGUUUAAGGUAGAUCUUUCAUAUAUAUUAUAUAUUAUGAAUUUCUUAUGAUAAAACCUUUCAUCUUGUUGAGGAGCCUCUCACCUCUGGUUGGCGCGGGUUUGAAUCCUGCUCGCACCGGUAAUUGAGAAAGUUUCCCAGUUUACUCUCGGAAGGUCGGUGGUCUCUUCCCAGGUACAUUGUAUCUGGGUUCUCUCUUCCACCAAUAAAAACUGGGCACCACCAGAUAACUGAAAAAUUGUUGAGUGUGGCGGAAAACAGUUAAAACAAUCAAUCAUAUUAUGUUAUUUGACCUUGUGACCCUGAACUCUGAGUUUGACAUACUUUUAAGAAAGUAUAACGUAUUAAGUAUAUCCAGGACUAUUUUAGAUAGGGCAUUUAUGUUUUGUAUAUUGAUUACUUAUGGCAAGGUCUUUCAUAUCAUACCAAGACCUACGACUUUUUACCUUGGUCUUAUCCAGAACAGCAAUAUCAUGCUAGUCAUAUCUUUGUCUUAUAUGAUUUCAUUUUAGUAAUGUUGUGUUCUUUAGAGCUAGGUUUGGGUCACAUUAUUCAUGAGAAUAAAGAUUGAUAAAAUAGCAUUUAAAAAUCAAAACAGCAGGGCCAAGAUGACUCAGGUGAGCGAUGUGGCCCAUGGGCCUCUUGUUGAUUUUGAUAUUUCUACCUAUAUCAUUUGUAUGAGAAAUGGAACUCCUUUUUUUCUUUUACAAAUACAUGUAUUAUCAUAUGGAUCCAUCUUUGUUGAUUAUUUAAUCAAAGGACAUAUUCAAUUCAUUCAAUGUAUUAAAUGUAAAUUUAUGGAUAUGUCUGUGGUUGAAUUACUUAUGUAUGUAUGUAUACAUUUUUCUCGCACAUGCAAUUACAUAUAUGAUGUAUAUAUAUUUACUAAUUGUACAUGUAAUAUCCCCUGUUAUAUAAUAAAAUAUAUGACUGAGAAUAAAA